GAUGAACGCUGGCGGCGUGCCUAAUACAUGCAAGUCGAGCGAACAGACGAGGAGCUUGCUCCUCUGACGUUAGCGGCGGACGGGUGAGUAACACGUGGAUAACCUACCUAUAAGACUGGGAUAACUUCGGGAAACCGGAGCUAAUACCGGAUAAUAUAUUGAACCGCAUGGUUCAAUAGUGAAAGACGGUUUUGCUGUCACUUAUGGGUGGAUCCGCGCCGCAUUAGCUAGUUGGUAAGGUAACGGCUUACCAAGGCAACGAUGCGUAGCCGACCUGAGAGGGUGAUCGGCCACACUGGAACUGAGACACGGUCCAGACUCCUACGGGAGGCAGCAGUAGGGAAUCUUCCGCAAUGGGCGAAAGCCUGACGGAGCAACGCCGCGUGAGUGAUGAAGGUCUUCGGAUCGUAAAACUCUGUUAUUAGGGAAGAACAAAUGUGUAAGUAACUAUGCACGUCUUGACGGUACCUAAUCAGAAAGCCACGGCUAACUACGUG
rnacentral:rRNA from 1 species